rnacentral:rRNA from 1 species
CCUACGGGCGGCAGCAGUGAGGAAUAUUGGUCAAUGGACGAGAGUCUGAACCAGCCAAGUAGCGUGAAGGAUGACUGCCCUAUGGGUUGUAAACUUCUUUUAUAUGGGAAUAAAAUGUUCCACGUGUGGGAUUUUGUAUGUACCAUAUGAAUAAGGAUCGGCUAACUCCGUGCCAGCAGCCGCGGUAAUACGGAGGAUCCGAGCGUUAUCCGGAUUUAUUGGGUUUAAAGGGAGCGUAGGUGGAUUGUUAAGUCAGUUGUGAAAGUUUGCGGCUCAACCGUAAAAUUGCAGUUGAAACUGGCAGUCUUGAGUACAGUAGAGGUGGGCGGAAUUCGUGGUGUAGCGGUGAAAUGCUUAGAUAUCACGAAGAACUCCGAUUGCGAAGGCAGUUCACUGGACUUCAACUGACACUGAGGCUCGAAAGUGUGGGUAUCAAACAGGAUUAGAUACCCCUGUAGUC